UACGAAGGGUGCUAGCGUUGUUCGGAAUCACUGGGCGUAAAGCGCGCGCAGGCGGCCAUUCAAGUCAGGGGUGAAAUCCUUGGGCUUAACCCAAGAAUUGCCUUUGAAACUGUAUGGCUGGAGUGUCGGAGGGGAUAGCGGAAUUCCUAAUGUAGCGGUGAAAUGCGUAGAUAUUAGGAGGAACACCGGUGGCGAAGGCGGCUAUCUGGACGACAACUGACGCUGAGGCGCGAAAGCGUGGGGAUCAAACAGG
rnacentral:rRNA from 1 species